rnacentral:rRNA from 1 species
AUGGAUUAAGAGCUUGCUCUUAUGAAGUUAGCGGCGGACGGGUGAGUAACACGUGGGUAACCUACCCAUAAGACUGGGAUAACUCCGGGAAACCGGGGCUAAUACCGGAUAAUAUUUUGAACUGCAUAGUUCGAAAUUGAAAGGCGGCUUCGGCUGUCACUUAUGGAUGGACCCGCGUCGCAUUAGCUAGUUGGUGAGGUAACGGCUCACCAAGGCGACGAUGCGUAGCCGACCUGAGAGGGUGAUCGGCCACACUGGGACUGAGACACGGCCCAGACUCCUACGGGAGGCAGCAGUAGGGAAUCUUCCGCAAUGGACGAAAGUCUGACGGAGCAACGCCGCGUGAGUGAUGAAGGCUUUCGGGUCGUAAAACUCUGUUGUUAGGGAAGAACAAGUGCUAGUUGAAUAAGCUGGCACCUUGACGGUACCUAACCAGAAAGCCACGGCUAACUACGUGCCAGCAGCCGCGGUAAUACGUAGGUGGCAAGCGUUAUCCGGAAUUAUUGGGCGUAAAGCGCGCGCAGGUGGUUUCUUAAGUCUGAUGUGAAAGCCCACGGCUCAACCGUG